rnacentral:lncRNA from 1 species
UCAGGAGCAGGAGCUAAGCAACUAAGGAAUUUAUCUGGAAAUGCAGCUGGCUCCUGAAGCACUUCACCCUAACAGUUCCACCAAUGUCCAAACAAGAGUCCAGAAGAGCUAACGUAAGCCCCGACUGACAACAACUUGUCUUCAGAAGAACUUUUAAAAUACCAGAGCCUGGACUCUCCUCCCACCAGAACACUGAUACCAAGGCCCUAGGUUGAUACCUGGCAGCAGUCUUAAGACGCAGGUGAUGCAGGUGAUUUGCCUUUGUAAUGAGAGCAGAGGAUUACCCUGUGUCUGAGGAACCAUUUUACUCUUCUCUGUCGAGCUUCUUCAAGUAGGAAGCUUCAAGAACUGGACGGCAUGAGCUUUGGAGAAACUCUCCGGAACCUUAAGAAACUAUAGAAUCAAGAAAAUGACUGCAGUGAACUUCUCUCGGGUUUUUAAUCUGUGGUGAUUGUGUGCACU